AUUGAACGCUGGCGGCAGGCCUAACACAUGCAAGUCGAGCGGAUGACAGGAGCUUGCUCCUGGAUUCAGCGGCGGACGGGUGAGUAAUGCCUAGGAAUCUGCCUGGUAGUGGGGGACAACGUUUCGAAAGGAACGCUAAUACCGCAUACGUCCUACGGGAGAAAGCAGGGGACCUUCGGGCCUUGCGCUAUCAGAUGAGCCUAGGUCGGAUUAGCUAGUUGGUGAGGUAAUGGCUCACCAAGGCGACGAUCCGUAACUGGUCUGAGAGGAUGAUCAGUCACACUGGAACUGAGACGCGGUCCAGACUCCUACGGGGGGCAGCAGUGGGGAAUAUUGGACAAUGGGCGAAAGCCUGAUCCAGCCAUGCCGCGUGUGUGAAGAAGGUCUUCGGAUUGUAAAGCACUUUAAGUUGGGAGGAAGGGUUGUAGAUUAAUACUCCGCAAUUUUGACGUUACCGACAGAAUAAGCACCGGCUAACUCUGUGCCAGCCGCCGCCGUAACAC
rnacentral:rRNA from 1 species